rnacentral:rRNA from 1 species
AUGGAAUUUACUCCAGAGGCAGAACAGUCUCGUCAUAAAAGGGGAGACCUCUUCUUCUGUCACGGAGAAGAAAAUCCCAGCAUGAUAAAGCAAACUCUCACAAUCCCAGAAGAGAUGCAAAAGAGUUUCCUCAGUGCUUUGUUGACAAAGGCUGCAGUUGUAAUUAUUCAUAAAGAAGUCUUUCCUCUUGAGCAGAGCUUUGGUGUUUGUUCUAUCGUGGAGAGCCAACCAGACAAAGAUCUUACGUUUGAGUCUACUUUCAUUCUUUCAGUUUUUACUUUUUUUUUGAAAAUCACAUGGCCUUUAAAGUUCCCCAUAAGGUUCGCAUACAUUUUGGUGGAGGAGUAUUUGUUAGGCUGA